rnacentral:rRNA from 1 species
UACGUAGGGGGCAAGCGUUGUCCGGAAUCAUUGGGCGUAAAGCGCGCGUAGGCGGCCCUGUAAGUCCGUUGUGAAAGUCAAAGGCUCAACCUUUGAAAGCCGAUGGAUACUGCAGGGCUAGAGUCCGGAAGAGGCGAGUGGAAUUCCCAGUGUAGCGGUGAAAUGCGCAGAUAUCAGGAGGAACACCAAUUGCGAAGGCAGCUCGCUGGGACGUAACUGACGCUGAGACGCGAAAGCGUGGGGAGCAAACAGG